GAGGUUUUCAAAUCUUAUUCAAGUGUUGAAUUAAUUGCUGGUGCCAAAAUUCGGAGUCACUUUAAAAAAGGUAAAAAUUCAGCAUGUGAAAUUUGUUUUUUGACCUAGAGAGAGAGAGGUGUGCUGAGAAGGCCCCAGGGGAGCAGCCCUCAGCAGGAGGGUGGGUGGUGUCUCCUUUUGUCUGAAAAGGCAGGUGUGGUUCUCAAAGGAGAAGCUGUCCACCAUCAGGGAAUGGUGUGGAGGUAGGAGAAGAGAAGUGAUUGCAGCCUGAGCCAAUUCUGAGCGAGCUCGUGGGCGUCGGAGUUUGGCCCUGUAUGGGAGGCAGGAGGAGUCCCCGGAGGGAGAGCGUUGGCAGUGCCCGUGGUCCAUGGGUCUAGAAGCUGCUGCUCGUCAUAGUGUGCUGGCUUCGUCACAGGCAGGGUGCUACCCGCUACCAGGCUCACUCUCAUGGUGGUUCUGGGGAUGAUGUGCACUCACUAUGUGAGUUGGGGGAGACACUCUCUUACCGGGAUCUGGGAUUCACUUGCUGAGCUGCUUUUUAUUCAUCUUUAAAGUUGUUUCAAAAUUUGCAGGGAGAGCUUGCCAGGAGGAAACCAACGUGAAAUAAGAGGCCACAGGAGCAUGCAGAACAUCAUGAUCUUGCAGAAAGAGAUGAGGCUGUCGGCAGAUGUUCCAGCCAAGCACUUCCUGCUUUGACAUCUCGGUAAAAUGCAGGGUUAUCUGCAAAGCGGGUCUGAGGGGAAUCAGCGUUUCCAUUCUUAACAUC
rnacentral:lncRNA from 1 species